rnacentral:rRNA from 1 species
AAGCGCUUGCAAUCAGACUUGCACUUGGUGUUCAUCAGGGUCUCGUACCCUGUGUACUUCAUCAAGUUCAGGCCAGCAUCAGUUUGAGUGGUUAGAUAAAGGCUUAGAGAAUGUGGCCCUCUUCGGGGGGUGUUAUAGCUCUAGGUGCAAUGUAGCCUACUUGGACUGAGGA